GCUGGCGGCGUGCUUAACACAUGCAAGUCGAACGAUGACCUCCAGCUUGCUGGGGUGAUUAGUGGCGAACGGGUGAGUAACACGUGAGUAACCUGCCCUUAACUCUGGGAUAAGCCUGGGAAACUGGGUCUAAUACCGGAUAUGACUCCUCAUCGCAUGGGGGGGGGUGGAAAGCUUUUUGUGGUUUUGGAUGGACUCGCGGCCUAUCACCUUGUUGGUGAGGUAAUGGCUCACCAAGGCGACGACGGGUAGCCGGCCUGAUAGGGUGACCGGCCACACUGGGACUGAGACACGGCCCAGACUCCUACGGGAGGCAGCAGUGGGGAAUAUUGCACAAUGGGCGAAAGCCUGAUGCAGCGACGCCGCGUGAGGGAUGACGGCCUUCGGGUUGUAAACCUCUUUCAGUAGGGAAGAAGCGAAAGUGACGGUACCUGCAUAAGAAGCGCCGGCUAACUACGUGCCAGCAGCCGCGGUAAUACGUAGGGCGCAAGCGUUAUCCGGAAUUAUUGGGCGUAAAGAGCUCGUAGGCGGUUUGUCGCGUCUGCCGUGAAAGUCCGGGGCUCAACUCCGGAUCUGCAGUGGGUACGGGCAGACUAGAGUGAUGUAGGGGAGACUGGAAUUCCUGGCGUAGCGGUGAAAUGCGCAGAUAUCAGGAGGAACACCGAUGGCGAAGGCAGGUCUCUGGGCAUUAACUGACGCUGAGGAGCGAAAGCAUGGGGAGCGAACAGGAUUAGAUACCCUGGUACUCCAUGCCGUAAACGUUGGGCACUAGGUGUGGGGGACAUUCCACGUUUUCCGCGCCGUAGCUAACGCAUUAAGUGCCCCGCCUGGGGAGUACGGCCGCAAGGCUAAAACUCAAAGGAAUUGCCGGGGGCCCGCACAAGCGGCGGAACAUGCGGAUUAAUUCGAUGCAACGCGAAGAACCUUACCAAGGCUUGACAUGGGCCGGACCGGGCUGGAAACAGUCUUUCCCUUUUGGGGCCGGUUCACAGGUGGUGCAUGGUUGUCGUCAGCUCGUGUCGUGAGAUG
rnacentral:rRNA from 1 species